UGGGGAAUAUUGCACAAUGGGCGAAAGCCUGAUGCAGCGACGCCGCGUGAGGGAUGGAGGCCUUCGGGUUGUAAACCUCUUUCAGUAAGGGUGAAGGCUCUCUUUUGUGGAGGGUUGACAGUACUUGCAGAAGAAGCGCCGGCUAACUACGUGCCAGCAGCCGCGGUAAUACGUAGGGCGCGAGCGUUGUCCGGAAUUAUUGGGCGUAAAGGGCUUGUAGGUGGCGUGUCGCGUCUGCUGUGAAAUUCCAGGGCUUAACUUUGGGAUUGCAGUGGGUACGGGCAUGCUAGAGUGCAGUAGGGGAGAUUGGAAUUCCUGGUGUAGCGGUGAAAUGCGCAGAUAUCAGGAGGAACACCGGUGGCGAAGUCGGGUCUCUGGGCUGUUACUGACGCUGAGGAGCGAAAGCGUGGGGAGCGAACAGG
rnacentral:rRNA from 1 species